rnacentral:rRNA from 1 species
GACGAACGCUGGCGGCGUGCUUAACACAUGCAAGUCGAACGGUGAUGCUCCAGCUUGCUGGCGUGGAUCAGUGGCGAACGGGUGAGUAACACGUGAGCAACCUGCCCCAGACUCUGGAAUAAGCGCUGGAAACGGCGUCUAAUACUGGAUACGAAACUGGCCCGCAUGGGCAUGGUUUGGAAAAUUUUUCGGUUUGGGAUGGGCUCGCGGCCUAUCAGCUUGUUGGUGAGGUAAUGGCUCACCAAGGCGACGACGGGUAGCCGGCCUGAGAGGGCGACCGGCCACACUGGGACUGAGACACGGCCCAGACUCCUACGGGAGGCAGCAGUGGGGAAUAUUGCACAAUGGGCGAAAGCCUGAUGCAGCGACGCCGCGUGAGGGAUGACGGCCUUCGGGUUGUAAACCUCUUUCAGCAGGGAAGAAGCGAAAGUGACGGUACCUGCAGAAGAAGCACCGGCUAACUACGU